rnacentral:misc_RNA from 1 species
AAGGAUAUUUAAUUGCAGUAAAAGCCUCUUCUUUAGCAAAAUCACUUUCUAUUGGAAAUUCAAAAAGUUUUUUGAAACAAAAACCAAAUAAACGAGUUUUUGGGUUUUAUGUAUUUCUACAAUAAAGUAUUCCUUUAAGAAAUUUAGACUUUAAUUAGAACUAUAAAUUAUAUAUAAUCUAUAUUAUUUUGAAUUCUAAAAAUAAUAUCUAUAUCUUAGGAUUUCAAUUACUUAAUUAAGUAACAAUUUACUUAUUAAUUAACUUUUCACAAUAGAAUAAAAUCUUUUCUUCUAUUGUGAAAAGUUUAAUAGAACUUAAAUUAAAAUUGAGAUUUAAAUAUUUCCUAUCUUAUAUAUAUAUUUUUUUUUUAAUUUUUUAAAAAUUAAAAAAAGAUUUAUAAUUUACUGUUAAUUUUAACAUUAAAAAAUAAAAAAAGAUAAAUGAUAAAAACUUUGCA